rnacentral:rRNA from 1 species
GUCUUUUUGAGUUUAAUUUAAAGUCUAAUCUGCCCACUGAUAAAUAUUUAAGGGCCGCAGUAUUCUGACUGUGCAAAGGUAGCAUAAUCAUUAGUCUUUUAAUUGAGGGCUUGUAUGAAUGAUUGGACGAGAUAUAAGCUGUCUCAUAAAAAUUUAAAUAGAAUUUUAUUUUUUAGUUAAAAAGCUAAAAUAAAUUUAAAAGACGAGAAGACCCUAUAGAUCUUUAUAAUUUAUUUAUAAAUUUUUUGAGGUUAUUUUUUUGAAUUUAUAAAUUAAAUUAUUUUGUUGGGGUGACAAUGAAAUUUAAUAAACUUUCAUUAUUUUAAACCAUUAAUUUAUGAAAAUUUGAUCCACUUUUAGUGAUUAAAAAUUUAAGUUACCUUAGGGAUAACAGCGUAAUUAUUUUGGAGAGUUCUUAUCGAUAAAAUAGUUUGCGACCUCGAUGUUGGAUUAAGAUUAAUUCUGGGUGUAGCAGUUCAGUUUAUUAAGUCUGUUCGACUUUUAAUUUCUU